CAAAGACUGAGCUCUAUGUUUCUGGCUUGCUUGUGUGGGUUAUGGUGCUAUUGUUCCUCCUCUUCCAUCUAUCUGAGACCUAAUUUCAGAAUUACAGAAAACUUGAAAUAGAACAAAAAAUUUCUGUAUACCCUUUUCUGAAAUCCCCCAAAUGUUAACAUCGUAUCACAUUUGCUUUACCUCCUUCUUUCAGACCACAAAUGAAAUUUAGUUGCUGACAUGAUGCCCCUUUAGCCCUAAAUACAUCAAUGUGUAUUUCUCAAAACAAAGGACAUUCUCUUAUGUAGCCAUGCAGUUCAGUACCAUUAGCUAAUCUAUAGACCUUAUUCAGAUUUCACCAAUAUCUCUAUAAUGUUAUUUACAGAUAAUUUCAACUAUUCAUUGCAGAUGGCAUUGCAGUUGUCAGAUCUCAUUAAGGUCUUAUAUCUGAAACAGUUCCACUGUCUUCCAUAACUUUCAUAACUUUGAACAUUUUGGCUCAUAGGCGAAAGGGAAUUGCCUUAUUUCGAAUGAGACUUUGGACUGUGGACUUCUGAGUUGAUGCUGAAAUGAGUUAAGACUUUGGGGGACUGCUGGGAAGGCAUGAUUGGUUUUGAAAUGUGAGGACGUGAGAUUUGGGAGGGGUUGGGGUGGAAUGAUAUGGUUUGGCUGUGUCCUCACUCAAAUCUCAUCUUGAAUUCCCACAUGUUGUGGGAGGGAUCGGUGGGAGGUAAUUGACUCACGGGGCCAAGUCUUGCUGUUCUUGUGAUAGUGAAUAAGUCUCACAAGAUCUGAUGGUUUUAAAAAGAGGAGUUCCCCUGCACAAGUUCUCUCUCUUUGCCUACUGCCAUCUACGUUAAGACAUGACUUGCUCCUCCUUGCCUUCCACCAUGAUUGCAAGGUAUCCCCAGCCAUGUAGAACUGUAAGUCCAUUAAAUCCUUUUUCCUGUAUAAAUUACCCAGUUUCAGGUAUGUCUUUAUCAGCAGCAUGAAUAUGGACUAAUACAGAAAUUAAAAUGAUGCCUGACACAUAAUUGCUUAAUAAAUAUUAGCUAUUAUUAUUUGACAUUAUCAUUAGUGUUGUAAAAUGAGCAAAGUCAAGUAAAAAUGCAUAACAAUCUAUGCUUUUUAUUAAUCCUGUCUAGCAAAGGAAUCAUAACCUCUGCAAAUAAUUAUUCUAAAUAAUUAUUCCUAUCAGUUUACCUCUACCUCUUCCAUCUUACUGCUCUAGUAGAAAAAUUAGGCCAGGGCAGUGGCUCAUACCUGUAAUCCUAGCACUUUGGAAGGCUAAUGCAGGAGGAUCAUUUUUUGAGCCCAGGAGUUCAAGACAAGCCUAGGCAACAUAGAAAGACCCUGUCUCUACAAAAAAUUUAAAAUUACCUGGGUGUGGCAGUACAUGCUUGUACCAGCUACUUGGGAGGCUGAGGUGGGAGGACUGCUUGAGCCUGGGAGGUCGAGGCUGCAGUGAGCUAUGAUCGUACCACCACACUCCAGGCUGGGUGACACAGUGUGACCUCAUCCCUCCCCCACCAAAA
rnacentral:lncRNA from 10 species